GCGACCCCAGGAUGGGCGAGGCCACC
rnacentral:rRNA from 8 species